rnacentral:tRNA from 1 species
GGGAGGGUAGAGGUCCCGGUGGGCCUUCCGGACUUCAAAUCCGGCACGGGGCCGUGAAACGUCCCGGGUGGGUUCAACUCCCACACCUUCCCGCCA